GAUGAGUGAUCUACGUACCCUUGUAGAUCGUACAGCAGAAGCGUUAGUGAACGCGGUUGAUGUAGUGGAACGUCCUCACGUCCCUCGAUCCGCCCCGUGAACAAUCCCGCGAUCAGUCCCACGAUCUAGUACCGAACGGAUGGCACCUCCGCGUUCAGCACACGUACAACUCGACGAUGAUCUCGGCCUUCUUGAUCCAGCAAGAGAGACGGAGAGGUAGAAGAGUUAUCUGGCAGCGUGACG
rnacentral:lncRNA from 1 species